CGGCGAGUGAAGCGGCAACAGCUCAAAUUUGAAAUCUGGCGUCUUAGGCGUCCGAGUUGUAAUUUGCAGAGGGAGUCUCGGAUUUAGGAUCGGCCCAAGUGCCUUGGAACAGGAUACCAAAGAGGGUGAGAGUCCCGUAUCCGGCCGAUACCGACGUCCGUGUGAGACCCCUUCGACGAGUCGAGUUGUUUGGGAAUGCAGCUCUAAAUGGGUGGUAAAUUCCAUCUAAAGCUAAAUACUGGCCAGAGACCGAUAGCGCACAAGUAGAGUGAUCGAAAGAUGAAAAGCACUUUGAAAAGAGAGUCAAACAGUACGUGAAAUUGUUGAAAGGGAAGCGUAUGUGGGCAGACUUGACCGCGGGAUUCAGCUCGUCUUCUGGCGGGUGUACUUUCUCGUGGGCAGGCCAGCAUCGGUUUCGGGGGUGAGACAAAGGCGUCGGGAAUGUGGCUCGCUUCGGUGAGUGUUAUAGCCCUUCGUGUAAUGUCACC
rnacentral:rRNA from 1 species